AACGCUAGCUACAGGCUUAACACAUGCAAGUCGCGGGGCAGCAUGAAGGAUGCUUGCAUUCUUUGAUGGCGACCGGCGCACGGGUGAGUAACGCGUAUCCAACCUGCCUGUUACCACGGCACAGCCCGUCGAAAGGCGGAUUAAUGCCGUAUGUGGUCCUUUGCGGGCAUCUAAUUAGGACUAAAGGUUCAGCGGUAACGGAUGGGGAUGCGUCCGAUUAGCUAGACGGCGGGGUAACGGCCCACCGUGGCGACGAUCGGUAGGGGUUCUGAGAGGAAGGUCCCCCACACUGGAACUGAGACACGGUCCAGACUCCUACGGGAGGCAGCAGUGAGGAAUAUUGGUCAAUGGGCGUAAGCCUGAACCAGCCAAGUAGCGUGAGGGAAGACUGCCCUAUGGGUUGUAAACCUCUUUUGUGCGGGGAUAAAGUGUGGGACGUGUCCCAUAUUGCAGGUACCGCACGAAUAAGGACCGGCUAAUUCCGUGCCAGCAGCCGCGGUAAUACGGAAGGUCCGGGCGUUAUCCGGAUUUAUUGGGUUUAAAGGGAGCGUAGGUGGAUUGUUAAGUCAGUUGUGAAAGUUUGCGGCUCAACCGUAAAAUUGCAGUUGAAACUGGCAGUCUUGAGUACAGUAGAGGUGGGCGGAAUUCGUGGUGUAGCGGUGAAAUGCUUAGAUAUCACGAAGAACUCCGAUUG
rnacentral:rRNA from 1 species